CAGUAAAUAUUUUAAAUAAAAUUUUAGUUUUGGAGACUAAAGAUGGGUAAAAUCUCUUUGCUGA
rnacentral:tRNA from 1 species